AAAACGUUUCCAAUUAAGUCAGGGUCAGUACCCCGCAGAGCUCAGAAGCAAGCGUCCAGAGAGACGGAACGAAAGCUCGUCAGGACUGUGGAAACGUGCGCUUGGGAACAAGAAACAGAAGCCACUUCCUGACCGGUGUAUUCUCCACAGGCAACUACUUUUACCGUCCAUGAUAAAAAAUAAAUUGAAUCUUCCUGGACUGGCACGUAUCGCAGAGUCUCCAUACUCCUUUGAUGGCUUCGGUGGCAUGGUUGUUUGACACAAAGUAACUGUGGGCGUCAUUGUUAAUUCGUUGUCUUCCUUCGUCAAUCUACGUCACGACACAGUUUUCUGCUGGAUCCCCAUAGAGCGUCCGCAGCAGCUAAAGCUUUUACAGUUCGGGAAUCCUCUAUCCUCUUCGAUUCGAAGUGCCCGACAACCCUGCUUUGUCUCCUUACCCGCGCGGAGUCCCAGUUGGCUGACGACUUGGCAAGCUUGUCUCUCGAGUUUCGAUGUUUUCAAAUCUCGGCCCGUAUAAUACGCGUCGAACGAGGGGACGAACUGAUGAGCGGGGAAAGGAGGUGGGAUAAGUUCCUUCGACCAGGGGAGAGUGUCUUCUGGUUUCAAGUCGAGAGCUGCGACAAGUCCAUCCGCGGUCGCUGCGCUAUUUUCAACGCUGCCGGCUCUGGACAGGAGUCUCGAGAGCGGUCCUUCGGUCGUCGUAGUCAAAAGACAAUGAGGAGACUCUGCUCUUUCAUCUUUCCCUUGCGGCUGCAUCGUGGGCGAAGAGACGUCACAUGCGUGUGCGCGGUAAGGUGCACAAGAGAGCAUACACGGGUCUUUGGAUGCUUCACCAGGUGGCGGUUGUGGGCGAUGAAGCUGCGGAGUUGUUUCCAUACAGUCUGUGGAGGACGAGAAGGAAAAAUAUCGACGCAUUGCGGAAGUGCCGCGCCCGUUAAUCACGCACCGCAUGGGGUCUCUUCUUUCUUCAUCUGGCUCCUCUCGUAUUGCAGGUUCUCGGUUCAGUCCCGGCUCUCUAGUGUGGAGCGCUGACACCGUAUCCCGCCGUUUGUCAUUUCCACUGAGUCUUGCCGUUCGUUCUUCAGUCCACGUUUGCCCCAUAACUCUUGCCACCUGACCAGCUUCGCCCCUCUGCGUUUGUCUCCCGUUUUCGUCCUCUUCGAAGGCGUCCCUGUCGCCGAGCGCGCACGGCAAGGUUACGUGACUCGUCUCAAUGCGCCGUUCCAUCUUCCUGCUUCCUUCCCCGGUCCCAUAAAAAACACACUUCCAAGACUUGGGCAUAGCAUGAAUGAUCCCUCGAG
rnacentral:lncRNA from 1 species